rnacentral:rRNA from 1 species
CAUGCAGGCGGUUAUACAAGUAGGAUGUGAAAGCCUGGGGCUCAACCUCAGAACUGCAUUCUAAACUGUGUGACUAGAGUAUUGCAGGGGGAGACGGAAUUUCAGGUGUAGCGGUGGAAUGCGUAGAUAUCUGAAAGAACACCGAAGGCGAAGGCAGUCUCCUGGGCAAAUACUGACGCUCAUAUGCGAAAGCGUGGGUAGCAAACAG